GACGCACACUGUUAAAGCCUGGCACUGCUAUCGGUGUUCAGGUGUCGGAUGUGUGCUAAAGCAAGCAGGCCGGGAUUCGCUAACACCAUUAGGGCCGAUGCCCAAUGAAUGGCGUUUGAUAGCAACCUGAGCUACAAGC